UUGGUAGAGCGCAACCUUGCCAAGGUUGAGGUCGAGAGUUCGAGACUCUUCUCCCGCUCCA
rnacentral:tRNA from 1 species